UAUCGUCUCUUCCAAAACUUUACCUCGCUGUCUCCGGCUUUUGUAGCCUCAUCUCUUCGCCUACCGUUUUGUUAUCUCUUCACCUUCCCUAUUGUUCAAUGUUUAUGUCUUAAUUCUCCAUAAUUUUUAGUAGCAUUGGAUCCAGAUUCCAUAUCGACAAAUUCGUUUCAUUCAUCUCAAAUCUAUAAUUAUGAUUGGAUUGAGAGUGCGAUGGAUGUUCAUCACCUCUAUCAGUUUAUCAAUUUUUAAAGCGUAGAAAGAUCCUCAAAAAAUUCUUCCUCCGGUGCUGUUGUUUCACACUCCACGUUUGACGCUCUCUGGAUCCGAAAAUUUGGCCAGUUUAUUGUUGCAUGUCUGCUUUGUUUUCAAAGGCAGUGGAUCUCGAGGACCUAUGAAUGGUUCAGGGUUUCGAUUCAGUCCCAUCAUGUGGGAUUAGUUUGCUUGCUCUUCUUCCUCUUCUGGAAAGGGAUACCAUCGAAAUUUAGGUAAAAAGGUCUGGCUUUCUCUUCCUGAUCCUGCCAAGAAAAAAGUACAUCUUCCUAGAGAGUUAUUACAGUGAUUUGAGCAAUACUGUGAUUGGAAGACCACAAGCAACACUGCAGAUUGAUCAUAAACAGCAUACCGGCGUUGAAGGUCCAAACCUUCCUCUGUGCCUUGAGGACUCCAUGCAUUGUUAGUUAACCUUUGAAUCAAAAUAAGUGCAGCGGCUACAAUGCACAUGCCCUGAGAAGGCUCAAACUACAAUGAAGUCUCUAUUCAACAGUCUGCUCUUUUCUGAUAGUCUUAAGAGUCGUGGAGACACAAAACGAUUAUGCGAUAAAGGCUCUGGUAAAUACAGUUGACCAUUUGGGCUCUGUUACAUACAAAGUCACUGAAUUUGUUGAUGAAAAGGUUGAUCAAGUAGCUGGAACCUGCUAUGAGUAGCUUGCAUCGAACAGGUAUAUAGAUAUCAACAAACUGGCCUUUUUCUAAUCCUCCUGCUUCUAGCUGGUAAUCAAUAUGUAUUCCACAUGACCGAGGUUGUCUCAUCUUACCUUUAACUUGAUUUAACAGUGUUAAUAGCAAUAAAACCUUGACCGUAUUUUUUCUUAUAUGAACCCGAGGCUGAAAAGGCUCUAGGGGGAGAUCUCUAACCAGAACAAGCACCAUCAUCUGCCAGCGAGACUGGGGGGAUUCUCCCAGCAACGCCAAGGAAGUUGAUGAAGAGAAUCAGCCAAGCUUGGUUGAGAAAGACAAGAGUUGCAAGCGCCUCCUUAAGUGAUUGGUACAAGUCCAGCAAACCGUCAAUCCCACUUAGCUUUCCUGCGCUUUCACUUUUUUAAAUUGCUAUGUUUUUCAAUUUUUGAGUUUUCUUAUUGUUUUUAAAUUUCUACAAACUAUCACCCACUAAGUUAGUAUUUAGUUUUGAUUAAAUUAUGGGGAACGUUAACGAGUAUUAGAAUUUAUGG